UGAAUUGACGGGGCCCGCACAAGCGGAGAGCAUGUGGUUUAAUUCGAUGAUACGCGAGGAACCUUACCUGGGCUCGAACGUAAGAUGACUGUAGGUGAAAGCUUACAUCUCUUCGGAGCAUUUUACGAGGUGCUGCAUGGUUGUCGUCAGCUCGUGCCGUGAGGUGUCGGGUUAAGUCCCAUAACGAGCGCAACCCUACCUUUAGUUGCCAUCAGGUAAUGCUGGGGACUCUAAAGGAACUGCCUACGCAAGUAGUGAGGAAGGCGGGGAUGACGUCAAAUCAGCACGGCCCUUACGUCCAGGGCUACACACGUGCUACAAUGGCCGAUACAGAGGGCAGCUACCUGGUGACAGGAUGCAAAUCUCCAAAGUCGGUCUCAGUUCGGAUCGGAGUCUGCAACCCGACUCCGUGAAGUUGGAUUCGCUAGUAAUCGCGCAUCAGCCAUGGCGCGGUGAAUACGUUCCCGGGCCUU
rnacentral:rRNA from 1 species